rnacentral:rRNA from 1 species
UGAGAUGUCCGUACCGCAAACCGACACAGGUGGGUUAGGCGAGUAGCCUCAGGUGAACGAGUGAAACGUGGUCAAGGAACUCGGCAUAAUGAUCCCGUAACUUCGGAAGAAGGGAUGCCUUUUCAGGUUGCCAGACUUGCUCUGGUUGCUCGAAGAGGCCGCAGAGAAUCGACUCAAGCGACUGUUUAGCAAAAACACAGGUGCGUGCCAAGCCGCAUAAGGCGCCGUAUACGCACUGACUCCUGCCCGGUGCCGGAAGGUUAAGGGGAGAGGUUAGCCGCAAGGCGAAGCUUUGAUCCGAAGCCCCGGUAAACGGCGGCCGUAACAAUAACGGUCCUAAGGUAGCGAAAUUCCUUGUCGGGUAAGUUCCGACCUGCACGAAUGGAGUAACGACUUGAGUACUGUCUCGACCACGUGCUCGGCGAAAUAGCAGUCUCGGUGAGGAUUCCGAGUCCCCGCGACAGGACAAAAAGACCCCAUGCACCUUUACUGCAGCUUGUUAUUGACGAUUGCAUAAGACUGUGUAGCAUAGGUGGGAGCCGUUGAGACGGGGGCGCUAGCUCUCGUGGAGGCAACAGUGAAAUACCACCCUGUGUUCUGUGAUCGUCUCACCGCGGUAGGCAAACCCUACCCGGGACCGUGACAGGUGGGCAGUUUGACUGGGGCGGUCGCCUCCGAAAGAGUAACGGAGGCGCGCGAAGGUUGGCUCAGCGCGGUCGGUAAUCGCGCCUAUAGAGUGUAACGGCAGAAGCCAGCCUGACGGUGAGACCGACGGGUCGAACCGAGACGAAAGUCGGCCGUAGUGAUCCGGUAGACCGGUGUGGAUCGGCUAUCGCGCAACGGAUAAAAGGUACGCUGGGGAUAACAGGCUUAUCGCGCCCGAGAGUUCACAUCGACGGCGCGGUUUGGCACCUCGAUGUCGGCUUGUCACAUCCUGGGGCUGGAGAAGGUCCCAAGGGUCCGGCUGUUCGCCGGUUAAAGUGGCACAUGAGCUGGGUUCAGAACGUCGUGAGACAGUUCGGUCUGUAUCCGUCGUUGGCGUUGGAGGGUUGAGGGGUGCGAACUCUAGUACGAGAGGACCGAGUUGGACGAUCCGCUCGUGUCCCGGCUGUGGCGCCAGCUGCAACGCCGGGUAGCGAUGAUCGGUGGCGAUAACCGCUGAAAGCAUCUAAGUGGGAAGCGUCCCCCAAGAUGAACCCUCCCUGGGAACUUGAUUCCCCUAAAGGGCCGGAGAGACUACUCCGUCGAUAGGCAACAAGUGGAAGUAGCGCAAGCUAUUACGAGCUCAGCUGUCCUAAUCGCCC